ACAGUACAAACUGAGCAGACCGUGACAAUGUCGUCAUGGAGUCGGGUCACAAAAGUGACAGUGGGAUAUUUCAUCCACGGGACAGU
rnacentral:ncRNA from 1 species